rnacentral:rRNA from 1 species
GGCGAGUGGCGAACGGGUGAGUAAUACAUCGGAACGUGUCCUGGAGUGGGGGAUAGCCCGGCGAAAGCCGGAUUAAUACCGCAUACGCUCUGUGGAGGAAAGCGGGGGAUCUUCGGACCUCGCGCUCAAGGGGCGGCCGAUGGCAGAUUAGCUAGUUGGUGGGGUAAAGGCCUACCAAGGCGACGAUCUGUAGCUGGUCUGAGAGGACGACCAGCCACACUGGGACUGAGACACGGCCCAGACUCCUACGGGAGGCAGCAGUGGGGAAUUUUGGACAAUGGGGGCAACCCUGAUCCAGCAAUGCCGCGUGUGUGAAGAAGGCCUUCGGGUUGUAAAGCACUUUUGUCCGGAAAGAAAACCUCUGGGUUAAUACCCUGGGGGGAUGACGGUACCGGAAGAAUAAGCACCGGCUAACUACGUGCCAGCAGCCGCGGUAAUACGUAGGGUGCGAGCGUUAAUCGGAAUUACUGGGCGUAAAGCGUGCGCAGGCGGUUCGCUAAGACCGAUGUGAAAUCCCCGGGCUUAACCUGGGAACUGCAUUGGUGACUGGCGGGCUANAGUAUGGCAGAGGGGGGUAGAAUCCACGUGUAGCAGUGAAAUGCGUAGAGAUGUGGAGGAAUACCGAUGGCGAAGGCAGCCCCCUGGGCCAUACUGACGCUCAUGCA